rnacentral:rRNA from 1 species
CCUACGGGAGGCAGCAGUGAGGAAUAUUGGUCAAUGGGCGUAAGCCUGAACCAGCCAAGUCGCGUGAGGGAUGAAGGUUCUAUGGAUCGUAAACCUCUUUUAUAAGGGAAUAAAGUGUGGGACGUGUCCUGUUUUGUAUGUACCUUAUGAAUAAGGAUCGGCUAACUCCGUGCCAGCAGCCGCGGUAAUACGGAGGAUCCGAGCGUUAUCCGGAUUUAUUGGGUUUAAAGGGUGCGUAGGCGGCCUUUUAAGUCAGCGGUGAAAGUCUGUGGCUCAACCAUAGAAUUGCGGUUGAAACUGGGAGGCUUGAGUAUGUUUGAGGCAGGCGGAAUGCGGGGUGUAGGUGUGAAAUGCUUAGAUAUCACGCAGAACCCCGAUUGCGAAGGCAGCCUGCCAAGCCAUGACUGACGCUGAUGCACGAAAGCAUGGGGAUCAAACAGGAUUAGAUACCCUUGUAGU